rnacentral:rRNA from 1 species
CCUACGGGAGGCAGCAGUGGGGAAUUUUGGACAAUGGGCGCAAGCCUGAUCCAGCAAUGCCGCGUGCAGGAUGAAGGCCUUCGGGUUGUAAACUGCUUUUGUACGGAACGAAACGGUCUGCUUUAAUACAGUGGGCUAAUGACGGUACCGUAAGAAUAAGCACCGGCUAACUACGUGCCAGCAGCCGCGGUAAUACGUAGGGUGCGAGCGUUAAUCGGAAUUACUGGGCGUAAAGCGUGCGCAGGCGGUUAUAUAAGACAGAUGUGAAAUCCCCGGGCUCAACCUGGGACCUGCAUUUGUGACUGUAUAGCUAGAGUACGGUAGAGGGGGAUGGAAUUCCGCGUGUAGCAGUGAAAUGCGUAGAUAUGCGGAGGGACACCGAUGGCGAAGGCAAUCCCCUGGACCUGUACUGACGCUCAUGCACGAAAGCGUGGGGAGCAAACAGGAUUAGAUACCCUGGUAGUCCACGCCCUAAACGAUGUCAACUGGUUGUUGGGUCUUCACUGACUCAGUAACGAAGCUAACGCGUGAAGUUGACCGCCUGGGGGUAAGGUACGGCCGCGAGUAGUUAACGUUACAANAGAGUUAGACGGCGNGAGACGNGCGACGGACGACGACGAGGGAGGAGG